rnacentral:misc_RNA from 1 species
CCGAGUUUACAACUCCCAAACCCAAUGUGAACGUUACCAAACUGUUGCCUAUCGGCGGGGUCACGCCCCGGGUGCGUAAAAGCCCCGGAACCAGGCGCCCGCCGGAGGAACCAACCAAACUCUUUCUGUAGUCCCCUCGCGGACGUAUUUCUUACAGCUCUGAGCAAAAAUUCAAAAUGAAUCA